AUUUUAUGGGUCUAGAAGGGCCACAUCACCAUCCAAGGGGGACCGUUGGGCAACGAAGGUCACCGCCAAAAUCCUAGCCUAAAGUUGCAAGGAGGGUUGGCAACAUCACCGAGGAAGGUUACUGGACGUCGGGGAUCGCCGCCGAAGUCGCCAAGGAUUGUCAGGUAUUGCUUUAACGACUUUAAGUGUCUAAUCGUUUUUUUUAUGUAUUUAGGGUGGUCCACAUCACCGAAGAAGGCCACCGGACAACGAGGUUCGCUGUCGGAGCCUCCUCGAUCGUCGCCCAAAAUUGUCAACAGGGCUACACCACCAUCGAAGAGGAUGCGUGACAUCGAGGAUCGCCGCUGGAGCAACGAGAUUGUCGGCACGGGCCUCACCACCAUCGAAGAGGACGUUGGACGCUGAAGAGGACGCUGAAGCACCGACAUCGUCACCAUGGAUGUUCCAGGUAUAUGUGUUGUACAUUUAAUUGUCUAACCGUGUUUUUUUUUAUUUAUUUAGGAGGGUUGCAUCAUCGCCCAAGAGGACCAUUGGACAACUAGAUUCGUCGUCGGAAGUAUCAUAAUUGUCGCCCAGAA